GGACGUGAGGGUGAUCUCGUUGCGGUAUCUGUCACCCCACUGAUUGCCAGGGUUGAUUCAGCUGAUCUGGCUGGGAAGGCGUGUGUCCCCUUCCUCCCUCACCACCCCGUGUGUCCCUCCUGAAGCUGCAUGCCUGGUCUAAGAGGAUGACCAUUCCCGAUAGAGGAGGACCGGUCUUCCAUCAAGGGUAUACAAGUAGCUGCACUCGCCUGCUGGAACCCCCGAACAAGCUCUCAAG
rnacentral:lncRNA from 1 species